UAUCAGGUGUGACUGUAUCCAGGUGUGACUGUAUCAGACCUGACUGUAUCAGGUGUGACUGUAUCCAUGUGUGACUGUAUCAGGUGUGACUGUAUCAUAUGUGACUGUAUCCAGGUGUGACUGUAUCAAUGUGUGACUGUAUCAGAUGUGAUUGUAUCAGGUGUGACUGUAUCUAUGUGUGACUGUAUCAGGUGUGACUGUAUCAAAUGUGAUUGUAUCAGGUGUGACUGUAUCAGAUGUGACUGUAUCAGGUGUGACUGUAUCCAGGUGUGACUGUAUCAGACCUGACUGUAUCAGGUGUGACUGUAUCCAUGUGUGACUGUAUCAGGUGUGACUGUAUCAUAUGUGACUGUAUCCAGGUGUGACUGUAUCAAUGUGUGACUGUAUCAGAUGUGAUUGUAUCAGGUGUGACUGUAUCCAUGUGUGACUGUAUCCAUGUGUGACUGUAUCAUGUGUGACUGUAUCAGGUGUGACUGUAUCCAUGUGUGACUGUAUCAAUGUGUGACUGUAUCAGAUGUGAUUGUAUCAGGUGUGACUGUAUCAGGUGUGACUGUAUCCAGGUGUGACUGUAUCAGACCUGACUGUAUCAGGUGUGACUGUAUCCAUGUGUGACUGUAUCAGGUGUGACUGUAUCAUAUGUGACUGUAUCCAGGUGUGACUGUAUCAGAUGUGAUUGUAUCAGGUGUGACUGUAUCCAUGUGUGACUGUAUCAGGUGUGACUGUAUCA